rnacentral:rRNA from 1 species
GACGAACGCUGGCGGCGUGCCUAAUACAUGCAAGUAGAACGCUGAAGGAGGAGCUUGCUUCUCUGGAUGAGUUGCGAACGGGUGAGUAACGCGUAGGUAACCUGCCUGGUAGCGGGGGAUAACUAUUGGAAACGAUAGCUAAUACCGCAUAAUAGUAGAUGUCGCAUGACAUUUGCUUAAAAGGUGCAAUUGCAUCACUACCAGAUGGACCUGCGUUGUAUUAGCUAGUUGGUGAGGUAACGGCUCACCAAGGCAACGAUACAUAGCCGACCUGAGAGGGUGAUCGGCCACACUGGGACUGAGACACGGCCCAGACUCCUACGGGAGGCAGCAGUAGGGAAUCUUCGGCAAUGGACGGAAGGCUGACCGAGCAACGCCGCGUGAGUGAAGAAGGUUUUCGGAUCGUAAAGCUCUGUUGUAAGAGAAGAACGAGUGUGAGAGUGGAAAGUUCACACUGUGACGGUAUCUUACCAGAAAGGGACGGCUAACUACGUG